UGCAGCAAUAUUCUGGUAAACUUUAAAACGUGUAUUAAUACUUACACUGUACAGUGUUUAGCUGCUUAUGCUUCUCAUAUAACAUUAGCCUAAUUGUUAGCUAAUGUUAGCUAGCAGGCUAGCUGUCAAUGUUACGUUGCGAAAUCUUGCGCUACUGUUGAUGUCCAUCAUGAUGACAGAGACACUGGGAAAUGAAGCCUCUCUCCUCCACCUUGGAGCCAACUUCACACUGCAUCUUGAGGUAGAUGUGGCCCUCCAGAGGACACAAGAAUGGAACCUUGAACCCAAAGAACAGACACUUCAUGAGAAGCUGGGACAGUGUGUCAUCAAUUCGGAAAUGUUAGUCACAAGUUAAAAAUAAAGACACAAAGGUUA